rnacentral:rRNA from 1 species
CACGUAGGGCGCAAACGUUGUCCGGAAUUAUUGGGCGUAAAGAGCUCGUAGGCGGUCUGUUGCGUCCGCUGUGAAAACUCGGGGCUUAACCCCGAGCCUGCAGUGGAUACGGGCAGACUAGAGGUAGGUAGGGGAGAAUGGAAUUCCCGGUGUAGCGGUGAAAUGCGCAGAUAUCGGGAGGAACACCGGUGGCGAAGGCGGUUCUCUGGGCCUUACCUGACGCUGAGGAGCGAAAGCGUGGGGAGCGAACAGG